GCUGUCUCCACCCGAGACUCAGUGAAAUUGAACUCGCUGUGAAGAUGCAGUGUACCCGCGGCAAGACGGAAAGACCCCGUGAACCUUUACUAUAGCUUGACACUGAACAUUGAGCCUUGAUGUGUAGGAUAGGUGGGAGGCUUUGAAGCGUGGACGCCAGUCUGCGUGGAGCCAACCUUGAAAUACCACCCUUUAAUGUUUGAUGUUCUAACGUUGGCCCCUGACCGGGGUUGCGGACAGUGUCUGGUGGGUAGUUUGACUGGGGCGGUCUCCUCCCAAAGCGUAACGGAGGAGCACGAAGGUUAGCUAAUCCUGGUCGGACAUCAGGAGGUUAGUGCAAUGGCAUAAGCUAGCUUGACUGCGAGC
rnacentral:rRNA from 1 species